UACGGGGGGGGCAAGCGUUGUUCGGAAUUACUGGGCGUAAAGGGUGCGUAGGCGGCUUUCUAAGUUGGAUGUGAAAACUAUGGGCUCAACCCAUAGCCUGCAUCCAAAACUGGAGAGCUUGGGUUCUGGAGGGGAAAGCGGAAUUCCUGGUGUAGCGGUGAAAUGCGUAGAUAUCAGGAGGAACACCGGUGGCGAAGGCGGCUUUCUAGUACGUGACUGACGCUGAGACGCGAAAGCGUGGGGAGCGAACAGG
rnacentral:rRNA from 1 species